rnacentral:rRNA from 1 species
ACUCCUACGGGAGGCAGCAGUUGGGAAUCUUCCACAAUGGGCGCAAGCCUGAUGGAGCAACACCGCGUGAGUGAAGAAGGGUUUCGGCUCGUAAAGCUCUGUUGUUAAAGAAGAACACGUAUGAGAGUAACUGUUCAUACGUUGACGGUAUUUAACCAGAAAGUCACGGCUAACUACGUGCCAGCAGCCGCGGUAAUACGUAGGUGGCAAGCGUUAUCCGGAUUUAUUGGGCGUAAAGAGAGUGCAGGCGGUUUUCUAAGUCUGAUGUGAAAGCCUUCGGCUUAACCGGAGAAGUGCAUCGGAAACUGGAUAACUUGAGUGCAGAAGAGGGUAGUGGAACUCCAUGUGUAGCGGUGGAAUGCGUAGAUAUAUGGAAGAACACCAGUGGCGAAGGCGGCUACCUGGUCUGCAACUGACGCUGAGACUCGAAAGCAUGGGUAGCGAACAGGAUUAGAUACCCUGGUAGGAUAGCG